rnacentral:rRNA from 1 species
GAUGAACGCUGGCGGCGUGCCUAAUACAUGCAAGUAGGACGCAGUUGCGAACGGGUGAGUAACGCGUAGGUAACUACCUAUUAGAGGGGGAUAACUAUUGGAAACGAUAGCUAAUACCGCAUACUAGUAGAUGGACCUGCGUUGUAUUAGCUAGUAGGUAGGGUAAUGGCCUACCUAGGCAACGAUACAUAGCCGAGCUGGGGGGUUUGUCGGCCACACUGGGACGGGGGAACGGCCCAGACUCUGUCGGGAGGCAGCAGGAGGGAAACGUCGGCAAUGGGGGAAACCCUGACCGAGCAACGCCGCGUGAGUGAAGAAGGUUUUCGGAUCGUAAAGCUCUUUUGUUAAGGAAGCGGUACUUAACCAGAAAGGGACGGCUAACUACGUGCCAGCAGCCGCGGUAAUAC